UGCCCAGUUAUACUUAUACUUUCACUUUCCAAUGAGAUCAUUAUCAUAAAAAUACAAUAAAAAUUAAUGAAAAGUAUUAUUCAUGAAUAUCAACAUACAUUAAGCAAAUAUAUUUAUUUAUAAUAUCAUUAAUUUCUAUAUUAUUUAUAUGAUUUUAUAAGAUAUUAUAUUAUUAUAUUUUGAUAAAAAAUAUAUUAAAUAAAAACUAUACUCAUUAUCCAAAAUAAAGAGCUCACUAAUAAUCUUAUUAAUAUAGGCAUCAUGUAGCAUAUCAAAAACUGCAUAAACAGAGCCUCCAUUUACGUAUAUGUGUGUG
rnacentral:lncRNA from 1 species